rnacentral:misc_RNA from 1 species
UUCAUUGGGGAGAACUCGAGG